AUUGAACGCUGGCGGCAUGCCUUACACAUGCAAGUCGAACGGUAACAGGUCUUCGGAUGCUGACGAGUGGCGAACGGGUGAGUAAUACAUCGGAACGUGCCCGAUCGUGGGGGAUAACGGAGCGAAAGCUUUGCUAAUACCGCAUACGAUCUACGGAUGAAAGCAGGGGACCGCAAGGCCUUGCGCGAACGGAGCGGCCGAUGGCAGAUUAGGUAGUUGGUGGGAUAAAAGCUUACCAAGCCGACGAUCUGUAGCUGGUCUGAGAGGACGACCAGCAGAACUGGGACUGAGCCACGGCCCAGGCUCCUACGGGAGGCAGCAGUGGGUAAUGUUGGACAAUGGGCGCAAGCCUGAUCCAGCGAUGCCGCGUGCAGGAUGAAGGCCUUCGGGUUGUAAACUGCUUUUGUACGGAACGAAAAGGCUCUGGUUAAUACCUGGGGCUCAUGACGGUACCGUAAGAAUAAGCACCGGCUAACUUCGUGCCAGCCGCCGCAGUAAUAC
rnacentral:rRNA from 1 species